AAACACGGCCUUAAACUAAAGCCCAGAUAUACCCUCUCUCUCUCUCUCUCUCUGUGGCAAAAUCUGAGAACACGAAGCCCAAGUUUCUCUGUCUAGAAUCUGCAAUGGACGACACGAGGGUUUGACGAUCUUCGUAUCCCGUGCCCGAGCCAUGGCCGGUUACACCAAGGAAGACCUAGUACAGCUGAUCAAGAGAUCUGGGGCUUACCUCACUCUCAGGCUGUUCGAUCUCUUCAAAAAUCUCGAUUCAUGGUCGGUAGGGGGUUUGGCAGGAUUUGCCAUUGCUAUUCUAUUUGUCUGGAGACUGUGGAGACCACGCAGUGGAACUCAAAGACGACAACCUAAACGGCGAGCUCCUACACCUGGUAGUUCUGGUGCAAGCAAUCGUUCUGAUGCAAAUUUAAUAUCCUCUGGAGUUAGCACAUCCGAAGAAGAUUUGAGAGCCCAAAACGUCAUUGACGAGUUCUUUCAGCCCGUAAAGCUGACUUUUGGACAAGUAGUUAGGCAAAAGCUGAGUGAAGGAAGGAAGGUAACGUGCCGGUUGUUAGGUGUGGUCCUAGAGGAAACUAGUCCAGAGGAGCUUCAGACAAAAGUGACUGUGAGAUCCUCUGUACUGGAAGUACUGCUGGAGAUUACAAAAUUCUGUGAUCUCUAUCUCAUGGAAAGAGUUUCAGAUGAUGAAAGUGCAAAAAAGGUUCUCUCAGCUUUAGAAGAUGCUGGGGUAUUUACAUCUGGCGGCUUGGUCAAAGAUAAGAUUCUCUUUUGUAGCACAGAAAAUGGACGGACAUCUUUCGUUCGGCAACUAGAGCCAGAUUGGCAUAUUGACACAAAUCCUGAAAUCAUUUUUCAGCUUGCGCGGUUCAUCAAAUACCAGCUUCACAUUUCGCCUACCAAGACGGAACAAACUGCUGCUAAUAUUUUCAGCUCGCCAUCGUUGGAACUGUUCUUCGGAUGUGUUUGACGCAAAAAGAAAAAAAAAACAGUGGUUAUGGCCGAUGCUGAUUUCCUGAUGAGAGACCCAACAUGUGGUAGUUUGCAGUCUCAAAGCCUAGAAGCUUUCUCUUCUCAAUCUUUAUGUGAUAGAUUAGCUCAUGUUCAAUCAACGUUGACUGUCAAAAUCCCAUGGCAUGUGUUCUUUGUAGGUGAGAGGGUAUUCUGGGUUCAGCGAGGUUCGAUCACGGGGCCGUGAGCUUGGAGUUUAUGGUCCCUUCAAAAUUAGGUCUAGGUUAUAGAUGACCUGGCUCAUGCUGUAAGUCUCUCUGCUCUUUUCUGUCAUUGUUAAACAUUAACACACAGAAAUUUCACAACAGAACAUACUGCAGGCCAUGAGAUCCUUCCUAGCAUAUUUUUGCAUGGUACUAGAGUCUAGAGAAGCCUACGGUCGCUUGAUUUUUUUGUUCGGCAAAAUGAAGAUUUUAUUAAUCAUUGAAACAAGUUACAAUGAUUAAACGGAAUCAAAGAGCGAUGGCUUCAAAACGAGGAAAAACAGGUUGGAUAAGCCUACAAGGACACGGGGAGAGGGGAAGGGGAACCAACCAAAGGUUGGAUAAUAUCAAAUGGGCCAAGAGUCCAAACCUAGAACAAUCUGAAAUGAACCCAGCAGGGCCCAUCUCAUCCCAAGAACCCAUAACUACCCUAAACUGAAAUCCCAACAGCCUCCGCAACCCAUUCUGCCACCGCCAACCAUCACUGGAAAAACCCUGCUGUCCCUUGAUAGGCGGUUGUUUUGUGAGAAGGGGUAAAUCUCGACUUUGAUGUGGUUUAGUCAUGUUUGGGGAGAAAAAAAUAUACUCAUGCAUUUAACUCUGAAACAAAAACGGAAAUUUUUAGUGGGCUGAGUAAUUCCUUUCCCUUUUCCUCCCUCUUUCACAAACCCAAACGGUAAAACUAGGAAUAACUCCGCUGCUACCUCCGACUACCACAACCGCCACCUCCUGCCACUGCCACUGGCGCCUCUGCCAUCGCCACUACCCUCUCUCUCUCUCAACCACAAUCAAAUCAGCCACCACACUGAUGCUUUAUCUCAGUCAUUUGCCUCCCAAAUGCAGGCAACGGUUCAAUUCCUCAUUGAGUGAUUUCACUGUUUGCAACAAAUAUUUAUAUGAUUCCCCAUAUAGUUAUCCUGCAUGUGUGCAUCUGUGUCCCUACACCUACUUGAUUUUACAUGUGUACACAAAAUGUGUGUCAAUUUGUGAGCAUGGCUGCAUGGUAGUUAUGGUUGGGAAGAUUGGUGUUACGGGUUACAUUCCAUUAGAUUUGUGUGGAUGGACACUUACAUACAUCUAUCACACAUAUAUGUGGGGUCCAUAUACUUAGUACUGAGGUCACAUAAAUGUGGAUAAAAAAGCCUUGUAGAG